rnacentral:lncRNA from 1 species
UGGCCUUUUGGGGGAUUUGUUUUAUGAAUCUUAUCUUGCAUUUCAGAAUUUCUAUGUGGUUGAAAUGUGCAGCCUCAAAAAAUCCCCAUGACUACUUGGAAACACAUUCUAGAAGCUAAUUUUUUAACUACGAUGGUUUGUGCUAGGAGCAAUGCCAAAGACUCUUGCUCUGUAAUCACUGUGAUGCCUUAAAAACACCUGCAGAGUAACUCUUGCUUAUCAAAGAACAAUAACUAGAAGGCAGCCAUGGUCAAUACAGCAUUUGGAAGAGCUGAUGAAAAACCGGAGGAAAGCACCCCUGGGAUCCCACGCAGACUUCACGGAUGAUUGGCAUGCAGUUUUACAGGGUUAUGCAGCUGCACUUGCUCUAGAUGUGCCAGUAGUUACAGAAGAGAGAAGUUGUGUCAGAUAUGCUAGCUACUGUUCAGAAUGCAACAGCUGCUCUUGGGUGGCUCUUCCUGAGAGCUGGGUGCAUCGUAUCUCUGAGGAUGUCUUAUUAAGGAGUUCUGACCUCCUUUUCUCAUUUCUCCAGUUUAGAUUUUCAACACUGUUUUAUAAAAAUGAAUUUCUUGCCAGUACUAUAAUUUAAAAAAAAUUGUUAAUCACAUAUCUGAAAACUUCUGAAAAGUAAUGUGUGCUGUGAUUCUGUGUGAAUCUUUUGUGACAGGAAUGAGAAAAAAAAAAUAAAAAAAAGCUCAGAAUCUGGCA